rnacentral:rRNA from 1 species
CCUACGGGAGGCAGCAGUGGGGAAUAUUGGACAAUGGGCGAAAGCCUGAUCCAGCAAUUCCGCGUGUGUGAAGAAGGCCUUCGGGUUGUAAAGCACUUUAGUGGGGGAAGAAACAGCUUGGCCACACCAAGCCUUGACGGUACCCCAAGAAUAAGCACCGGCUAACUCUGUGCCAGCAGCCGCGGUAAUACAGAGGGUGCAAGCGUUAAUCGGAUUUACUGGGCGUAAAGGGUGCGUAGGUGGCUAUUUAAGUCGGAUGUGAAAGCCCGGGGCUCAACCUCGGAAUUGCAUUCGAUACUGAGUGGCUAGAGUUCGGUAGAGGGCGGCGGAAUUUCCGGUGUAGCGGUGAAAUGCGUAGAUAUCGGAAGGAACAUCAAUGGCGAAGGCAGCCGCCUGGGCCUGGACUGACACUGAGGCACGAAAGCGUGGGUAGCAAACAGGAUUAGAUACCCUGGUAGUCCACGCCGUAAACGAUGAGAACUUGACGUUGGUUCGUUUUACGAAUCGGUGUCGCAGCUACGACGAUAGUUACGUCCGUCCGUCGGGUAGGUACGGCCGCGAGGUAGAACGUACGUAAAGGUAAGUUAGUUACGGCGUGAGACGUGCCGACGGACGACGACGAGGGAGGAGG